UACGUAGGGGGCUAGCGUUGUCCGGAAUCAUUGGGCGUAAAGAGCGUGUAGGCGGCUCGGUAAGUCCGCUGUGAAAGUCGGGGGCUCAACCCUCGAAUGCCGGUGGAUACUGUCGAGCUAGAGUGCGGAAGAGGCGAGUGGAAUUCCUGGUGUAGCGGUGAAAUGCGCAGAUAUCAGGAGGAACACCAAUUGCGAAGGCAGCUCGCUGGGACGUUACUGACGCUGAGACGCGAAAGCGUGGGGAGCAAACAGG
rnacentral:rRNA from 1 species